rnacentral:rRNA from 2 species
CGCCCUUCGGUUGUCCCGCCGGACCCGACUGCUAUCGGAUUGAGAUUUAGCCAUGCGAGUUGAACGUCCCUUGAUUGCAGGGGGCGUAGCAUACGGCUCAGUAACACGUAGUCAACCUGCCCUGGAGACGCGGAUAACCCCGGGAAACUGGGACCAAUCCGUGAUAGGUCGCCCCAUCUGGAAGGAGGGGCGGCCCAAAGGGGAAUUGUGGGCUUCCACUUUUCUCGCUCUAGGAUGGGACUGCGGCCGAUCAGGCUGUUGGCGGGGUAAUGGCCCACCAAACCUGUAACCGGUACGGGCCUUGAGAGAGGUGGCCCGGAGAUGGACACUGAGACAAGGGUCCAGGUCCUACGGGGCGCAGCAGGCGCGAAACCUUCGCAAUGUGCGAAAGCAUGACGAGGUUAAUCCGAGUGGCUUCCGCUGAGGAAGUCUUUUGCCGACUGUAAAAAGGUCGGAGAAUAAGGGGAGGGCAAGUCUGGUGUCAGCCGCCGCGGUAAUACCAGCUCCUCGAGUGGUCGGGGCGAUUAUUGGGCCUAAAGCAUCCGUAGCCGGUUCCGUAGGUCUCCUGCAAAAUCCAGUCGCUCAACGAUUGGCCCGCAGGAGAUACCGCGGGACUAGGAGGCGGGAGAGGUGGACGGUACUCCACGUGUAGGGGUAAAAUCCUUUGAUCCGUGGAAGACCACCAGUGGCGAAGGCGGUCCACCAGAACGCGCUCGACGGUGAGGGAUGAAAGCUGGGGGAGCGAACCGGAUUAGAUACCCGGGUAGUCCCAGCCGUAAACGAUGCUAGCUAGAUGAUUCAUUCGCAAGUCGCGAAUGAAGUGUCGCAGGGAAGCCGUUAAGCUAGCCGCCUGGGGAGUACGGUCGCAAGACUGAAACUUAAAGGAAUUGGCGGGGGAGCAACACAAGGGGUGAAGCCUGCGGUUCAAUUGGAGUCAACGCCAGGAAACUUACCAGGAGAGACAGCAGAUUGAGGGUCAGGCUGAAGACCUUACCUGACGAGCUGAGAGGAGGUGCAUGGCCGUCGCCAGUUCGUGCCGUGAGGCGUCCUGUUAAGUCAGGCAACGAGCGAGACCCAAAGGGCG